GUCUGUGACCAUACCAUCCUGGAUGUGCCUGAUCUUGUCUGAUCUCAGAAGCUAAGCAGGGUUGAUCCUAGUUAGGAUUUGCAUGGG
rfam:Macaca mulatta chromosome 17, whole genome shotgun sequence.